GAACAUCCACAAACAUUUUAAAGGAAUAGCUUUGUGUCCCACCAAAGCUCCUGGCACUACUGACUUUGGAUCUGUGGGGAGUAUUUGGAUCAAGAGCAGUAUUGUUGCAGAUUGAAAACUCAGGGAGACGCACACACAUGUACUCCAGAUGGCAGCAGUCAUCAUCAUUGUGGGACGACUGACUCGCCAGCAAGAAAGACGCCAUAGCAGGAUCCUUCUGCAACACGUUUAUUGGGAGAGCAUUGACUGCGUAGGCGAAAGACUCUGAACCCCAGAACUGGCACUGCUUAUAUAGGCCUAGGAGUGACGUGUCCACACCUGAUUGGUUGUGUCCUCAGCGCCUCAUUCACGUGCCUUGGGUCAGGCAGUGACUCAGCAAAAAGCUCUAUGGUACAUGCGCACAUUGGUUGUUUACCCAUAUUCAUGGGCAUUGGCUUAUUGAAACCAGCGCCAUUUUGUAAUGGCGUUUGUGGCUUCCCACAUCUCUUGUAAUGGUGUUUGCAGCUUCCCACAUCUCCCCCUUUUUAUUUUAAUAAAAUGAUGCUGGAC
rnacentral:lncRNA from 1 species